rnacentral:tRNA from 1 species
GGUUUGUUGGUGUAACGGUAACAUGUUUGAUUGUCGAUCAAAUGUAAAGGGUUCAACUCCCUUACAAACCG